GAUGAACGCUGGCGGCGUGCCUAAUACAUGCAAGUCGAGCGAACGGACGAGAAGCUUGCUUCUCUGAUGUUAGCGGCGGACGGGUGAGUAACACGUGGAUAACCUACCUAUAAGACUGGGAUAACUUCGGGAAACCGGAGCUAAUACCGGAUGAUAUUUUGAACCGCAUGGUUCAAAAGUGAAAGACGGUCUUGCUGUCACUUAUAGAUGGAUCCGCGCUGCAUUAGCUAGUUGGUAAGGUAACGGCUUACCAAGGCAACGAUGCAUAGCCGACCUGAGAGGGUGAUCGGCCACACUGGAACUGAGACACGGUCCAGACUCCUACGGGAGGCAGCAGUAGGGAAUCUUCCGCAAUGGGCGAAAGCCUGACGGAGCAACGCCGCGUGAGUUAUGAAGGUCUUCCGAUCCUAAAACUCUGUUAUUAGGGAAGAACAUAUGUGUAAGUAACUGUGCACAUCUUGACGGUACCUAAUCAGAAAGCCACGGCUAACUACGUG
rnacentral:rRNA from 1 species